CGGUGCUUCCCAGGAACAGGGAUGUGACUCUGGGGAGAUUGGGGUCCCCUUCCCAAGCAGCACUUGGCCAAAUUCCGGGGGGGGCAGAGUGUGUGUGUGGUGUGUGUGGGUGUGUGUGUGUUGCAGAAAUUUCUCAAAUCCAAGGUACUCUCAUGUUUUGUUGCUAUGACAUGCCAUGUCUGACAACUCUCGCGCCUGGAGCGGUGACGGCUGUUCCGCAGAACUGUUUAAAUGAAGUAAAACAUUGGGGCUGUCCCGUGGGGCUGACCGAGGUCUGGGGCGGGGGGGCCCUUUUGGGAAAUUUUGCCCGUGACUGAUUUUUCUGGCACCGUUUCCUCCAGCCCCAGAUAAUCCGCUGCCUUCAAAGGGGCCGGUUGCUGCCGGGACCUCCUGGUGCAGUGCAGGGAGGGGAUUUGCGGAGAUUACGAAGGCUCGAAACGUCCCUCCUGGCUACAGAGCACCCAGGUCUGGACAGACCCGCGACAGACAGACGGACAGGGCAGAGCGAAGCCACUGAGCCCACCAAGGAGCAUCUCUUCUCCACCGCGAGGAGCCGGGGACCCCGGAGGGGGGGGCUGAGCCUUAUCUGACGGCAGCGUUUCCACGGAGGAGAUCAGAGAGCUUUGAAGGCGUCGCGGGAGCUCGGCGGAGGUAUGUCGGGGCUCAUCGCUUCUGACAGAUUCCAGGUGGGAUUUGUAGCUGGGUGAUGUUGCAAUUCGGGGCCUUAAGGGAUUUUUUUCAGCACGUUCUCCCAAAAGCAGGAACCCUCCGCACCAGCGCUGGGCCAACAAACAUGAGAAGCAGCGGCUGUCCAUGCCAAACGAGAUGGAUUUAAAAGAAAAGAAAGGAUGUUUUGUAGAUUCCCAAACAAAAGAGUAAGAAAUAAGGUCAAUACCUGAAGCUUUGAGAGCCAAAAAUGUAUUCAAAUCCCUAUUUUCGACAGGGCUGCAAAGCCGCAAGCAGACUGACAGACCCUGGCCAGCAUCCCCCCCCUCUCCUCGUCCUCGUGUUGCUUGUGCGGAUUGAUGUGAAAUUAAAAAAAUACAUCGGCUGCUUUUCUCACCUGCACCUGUAGCCCCCGCCCUGGCAGCUGAGGAGGGUGACACCAUUGUCAUUUUUCUGAUUAAACCAACAUAACCCCCAAAGGAUGAUACAGGAACCAAACCCCAAACUCUAAAAAAAUCAGAAAGCCAAGAGUAAGGUGAUGGGGGGGGGGGGGGGGGGAAGAGGAAUCAACCUAAUUCUGGGAGCCAGAAAUGCAGAAUUAAACCUCUGUGCCUCGCGCAGGGCAGAUGUUGGGUAUAUAGGUCUGUGUGAUGGGAUUAUUUUUCAGCCAUAUUGAUUACAUUUGAUAUAUUUUGAAAUCUAAUUUUAAUGGUGUUAUAUAUUUACAUAUUAUAUUUCAAAUACUUCAAACGUUACCGACUGUAUUAAAACGUGAUGGCUGAUGUAUUACAGCGGUUUGGGACGAGGCUGGCAACCACCUGGCACCGCAGAUCCGUCCUCCUCCGGCUUUCCCACCCUUUCAGGUGCCGCGAUGCCUCCAAUUCGCCGGGCAUCCGCGCAGCCCCCUCCCCUCCUCGGGAGAUGGCGCUUUCCCCACGCCGAGCCCAGCUCCUCGGUGGCCCCGUGGGAGAGCGGGGCAGCAGGAGACGCCGGCGGGACGGCGGGAGCGGGACGUGGGUGUGGGGAACGGGCGGUGAACGCGCGCAGGCACCGAAACCCGGAGACUGAAUAUCAAUCAAACGCGCUUGGAGUAUUAUCAUAAAAACCAGUCGGACCGGUAGGAAAGCACGUUUGAAACGUGGAGCCCAGCACACGGCCGCGCCCGAGGGUCCGUGGCUUUGUCCCGGAGCGGCACUGGGCUGGCGAUAACGCCUACAGAAAAUGACUUUGAUUUACAAGAUCCUUCUAUUUCCACUUAUUUUGUUUCAGUCUUUUGUUUUCAAGGAUCUCUUGGAGAUUUUUCAGUUCUUUAGGAUUUGCGCAAUGGCCAGAUGCUCUUCUGCCUUCAAACGGGGGAAGAAAUGGCAAUGAGGGCACGAGUCGGCGGGGCUGGGGGGCAAAGCUGGACCCGGCACAGCAGCCGGCGGGUUCGGGUGCAUCGGGAACGUGACAGCGACUCCAAUUCGCUGGGGAGGGACGGGACUCUGGGCUGCUGCUCCCCCAGCUCUGGCCGCGGCCCCUCUCCCAGCUGCUUCCUCUUAUUUCACGCUCGUCCGGUCUUCCUCACCUUCAGGUCAUUAAAACCAUCUUUAAACUUUGCUUUUUCUGCGCAUGCUGAGGGCUCCGCGCGCUCCGGGUGGCUCCGAUCUCCUCCCCAACCCCUCCGCGACGUCUGAUUCCUCCUCCCCGACGUGAGCUCCGAUUCCUCAUCCCUGAGCUCCGAUUCCUCCUCCCCGCCGGUUUUAGCUGCAGCGAGAGGCCGAGGCGGAUCAUUUCUUCAGCCGCUCGACUCCCGAGCCGGCACGCUCACAAGCCACAACAGCAACAGCUUAAAUCCCGGGGAGGCGGAGGAGAAGGGAUAUUGUCAGCCCCACCUUGGGUUUGCCCCCAGAAAGUUUCCCGUAGCCGACCGCUCCCGCCCCGAGCGGCUCUUCGCGUGCUGCUGUCGCAGCAUCCCCGGGGAAGCCGACGUUUUGGGAUGGAGCCGCUCUGCCCAGGGCUGCGUGCACGCACCGGCUGCUUCCACAUCUCCAGGGGGCCCGGCAGGACGUGUGUCUUAACCAGCAGCUCCUGAAGUUUCAUCCCUGAACUGAGUUAUUGACCUUAACGAGACCCAAACCAGCACCGUGUGCUAAACCAGCGCCGUCUGUGAUUAUUAAAAUGAGUUAUUUUAUCACCAGCCACGCGAGGCUGGGAGCGUACGGCUUCCCAAACUGAAAUAACCCCGUAUCCGCCUGUAUGCCAGACAGCUACUUCAAAAAAAAAAAAAAACAAAAAAAAACCAACCCAAAAAAACUAAAAUCAUCCCGUUUUCUGGUUUGAUUCAGCAAUAAAAAACCCAGCACAAAGGCCCAGACACCCGUAGGAUUGCUGCUCCCAAACCCGGCCGCCGUCCGUCAGCUCGCUUGUCUCUCUGCUCACGAAAUGCCGGUGGUUUGAGUGGUCUGGAGCCUGGAAAGGGUGGAACAAACCAGGGCCCGAAGUCUGCGGAGAGCUCUGUGUUUGCUGGAAGGGUGCCCGGCGUCCACGAGCGCAGAUGUUGGGGAAAGAUUAAGUCUAGAAAGUCUUUCUUCACCUUCAGAGAGCCACUAGCCAGGGAUAAAAUUUAAUAUUUAAAUUUUAGCUGCCUCUGAACUGGGUUUUUAAAGGAGAGGUGGGGUGUCGUUACGCGCAUCGGAAAAAGCCUGUUGACAAAGGGACGAGGAUUUUUCCAUCGUUUUAUUAAAAACUUUUAAAGGUCUAAAAUGAAAAUGUACACCUACUACAAUAUCAUCAGUUUGUACACUCACAGUUAAAGUGCUAAAAUUAAACGUUACAAAACCGACACUGGACUACUGUAAACAAGUCUACCAAGAGCUGAGUGCAAGUCAAGUCAGCUACGGCCGGGUACUACCCCAUGCUAACGGCCACGUGCACCCGCUACGUACAGGGCUCACGAACACGAAAAGCUGCUUCCUCCCUCGUUCAGAACCGGAUGAAAUUACAACACGAACACGAGCGUGGUGAGAGAAAGCGCUGGAAGAGGCGGCAGCGCCGUUACGUGCCCCGCGUUCCCCAGAGCACCGAAAAACAGCAGGAAAACCUCCUCGCUUCCUGUGACCAAAACUCCCCACCCGGCUACAAACGCCGCGCGUUUGGGAUUGGGGUGAAAUUUCACAUUCGGCUCCCCGGGAAGGGCGGGCGUCGCCCGAAGGGUUGGCUCUGACUCCACAGGCUCUUCCCGCAGCCUCCCGGGCUCUUGCCGAGGGUUUUCCCUCCGCUCCUUGCUGGAGGCCGGGUUUGGAUUCGGCCGCGGCUGGAUUUCGGCUGGAGCCGCCCAGCGCAGCCCCGUGCUCAGCCCCGACCCCGGGUACAGCUCAUCGCUCAAACUUCCGUUGCAAAAUUUCGGUCUAAGCACUAAGAGGAGGGAGAGCGCUUGAGAGCGGACAAAGAAAUUUACAACUAAAUGCGGCUCUUUGCCGCUGCUGGGUUUUUUUGCGCUUCGAGGCGAGCGCUACCGAUCCCAUGGGAGGGCGGCUGCGCGUGGUCCUGACACAGCCUUUUCCAAGCAACGCGGCCGCAUCUCUGAUUGAAAUCUCUGAUUUCAACGAACGGCGAGAGCUCCGAAGGGAUUAAAGAGAGGAGGAACGUCACCAGGCUCGGGGGAAUCUGUUGUCAGCGGCGAUGGGGCCAAGCCCCCAGCCACCCCCUGCUCUGCCGGGCCGGGCCGGUGAAGCUCUCGCCUCUGAGACAGAACAACACGCCAAGGUGUUCGUGAUGGGAUAAAACAGGAGGUUCAGCUCCCUGGGAAUACUGGGAACAAGAAGCCGCGGGUUUUAUGGGGAGCUUUGAUACCGCGAUCUCGCAAAGCGGUGUUUCGGGGCUUCACCUCGUCGUCUGUGUAGGAUGGAGAGACAUUAACCUGCCGUUGGGACGAGCUGGGGAAACCGGGCUCUGUCCAACUUCUCUGCCUGCUUGGAGGGAGAGAGGGUCAGGCUUUUCAGCAGCGUGCGGCUGCUGGGGAGGGACGAGGCGCUGCGGAAAACCCCGAGGAACGUGUGCUCAUCUACACGUGCGUUAGGUCAGCCCAAGCCCAAAGCAACCGGAGGGGUUUCAGCCACGGUAAAACUGCCGCCGGGGUUUGAGCCCCGGGGGAAUUGAAAACAUUGGCAGCGGUCCCAGCAAGCAGGCGGCCAGGCCGGAGCCCCCGCUGGUUAACGGGGGGGGUGCCAGAGGGGAAAGACCCCCCAAAAACCGGGCGCCGGAGACGGCGGCUGGGCUGCGACCGACCUCGGACGCGCUCCAGAGCCCCCAGGCACGAUGAGUUGGGAGCUGAAGCCCUGCGAGCGUCCCAGCUGGGGAAUCUUACCCGUGAAACCUGCAAGAGUCACUGGUAAAGGGCUGUGAAAUCCCGGGAAGGAACGCUCUGCAGGACCAGAGCGGCAUGCGAACUCAGGUGCUGGAGAUAAAAGGGAGGGGUUGGGAUUACGGGGGGAGGGGGGGUAUAAAACCCAGCCAGAACUCGCGUUUGACAUUUUAAUCACCUCUUUGGGGUGACAGGAGCCUGUCCCUCGCCUACAGGAUACAUGAGCAAGGAACAGCUUCGAUAUUCCCAUCUGGAAACAAUAGGGGGACUAAACCUCACCUAUUAACAACAUUUCAAGCAGGAUAUAUUUCAAACCUCCAUCAUCAUUCCCCUCCCUGACUCUAAACAAGUCAAAGCAUUGCUAUAAUUAAUAGGAAAAAAAAAAAAAAAAAAGUACUGGAAAUAGAGCCAA